GUCAGUAUUUACCUAUGAGAGUUUUUAUUUUCACUGUCAUAUCAGAAUUAAUUUCUUGUUACUUCCCAUUUUAUAUUAUUUCUCUGUUAGUAGUACUUAUGUUGUAAUGUAGUUCCCAACGUAGGUUCGGGAGGAGCCGAAACAUUCAGUCCUGUGUUUUUCGGUGUGUAUUUUGAUCGUUACACCUUUAACCUUAUUAUUUAUUAUUCUCAGGUUAGGUAAAGUAAGUCGAGUCUGGCCUAAAUUAUAAGCAUUUAAAAUUACUUACAAUUUGGUCAGAAGACUCCUCUGUGGUACGUUCUUGUUCAAAGUCUUAAAACACUAUAAAUCAAGCCAAGGUAGGCAGCUUUUGUAAUCAAUUAAA